AUGAACGCUGGCGGCGUGCCUAAUACAUGCCAGUCGAGCGAGCGGACGAGAAGCUUGCUUCUCUGAUGUUAGCGGCGGACGGGUGAGUAACACGUGGAUAACCUACCUAUAAGACUGGGAUAACUUCGGGAAACCGUAGCUAAUACCGGAUAAUAUUUUGAACCGCAUGGUUCAAAAGUGAAAGACGGUCUUGCUGUCACUUAUAGAUGGAUCCGCGCUGCAUUAGCUAGUUGGUAAGGUAACGGCUUACCAAGGCAACGAUGCAUAGCCGACCUGAGAGGGUGAUCGGCCACACUGGAACUGAGACACGGUCCAGACUCCUACGGGAGGCAGCAGUAGGGAAUCUUCCGCAAUGGGCGAAAGCCUGACGGAGCAACGCCGCGUGAGUGAUGAAGGUCUUCGGAUCGUAAAACUCUGUUAUUAGGGAAGAACAUAUGUGUAAGUAACUGUGCACAUCUUGACGGUACCUAAUCAGAAAGCCACGGCUAACUACGUG
rnacentral:rRNA from 1 species